GAUGAACGCUGGCGGCGUGCCUAAUACAUGCAAGUCGAGCGAACAGACGAGGAGCUUGCUCCUCGGACGUUAGCGGCGGACGGGUGAGUAACACGUGGAUAACCUACCUAUAAGACUGGGAUAACUUCGGGAAACCGGAGAUAAUACCGGAUAAUAUAUUGCACCGCAGGGGUCGAUAGUGAAAGACGGGUUUUGUGUCUCUUAUAGAGGGAUCCGCGCCGCAUUAGCUAGUUGGUAAGGUAACCGGUUACCAAGGGAACGAGGCGUAUCCGACCUGAGAGGCUGAUCGGCCACCCUGGAACUUAGCCACCGUCCCUACUCCUACGGUAGGCAGCAGUCGGGAAUCUUCCGCAAUGGGCGAAAGCCUGACGGAGCAACGCCGCGCGAGUGAUGACGGUCUUCGGAUCGUGAAACUCUGUUAUUAGGUAAGAACAAAUGUCUCCGUAACUAUGCACGUAUUGACGGUACCUAAUCAGAAAGCCACGGCUAACUACGUG
rnacentral:rRNA from 1 species